GACGAUGGGAAGAACGUAAUCGGCUUAGGUCAUUGUUAGUAGACGAUCCGAAUCGAGGAAACCGGAGGCUAUGCUUGUUGAAGCUUUUGCUUUUUCUCAAAUCGAUACACACAGUGAGAACAUUGGCACAUAACGAAAGUCGUAUAGAAGUUAAAUCACGAUAGACCGGAUACCGGCUAGUCGGGACACAUUUCAGCGUUAUCCUAAUCUCGUGAAAUAUAUGCGAAUACUUAACGAACCGCAAACACAUUAUUAGCUCGUCGUUUGACAAACUAAUACCUAGAAACGGUGCUAAUAGCGACUCUAUUCACAGGAAAGCCUUUAUCCUCGUUACUAGCUCAUAUAAUUUGCACCUAUUUAAGAGAUUAAAAUCGUAAUAUAUCUUGGUGACAAAAAUAUUCGUUUUUUUAUAUACAUUGAUCAAAAAUUUUGUGUACACAUACGCACGGUUUGAUCACCAGACAGUGGAUCUUGAGAUUGGCGAAACGUAUUAGACGAGUCGUAUACCUGAGCCUAACAGGAGAAAACAGGGUGAACUGUUAAGAGCGUGUGCAUACAUUUACGUGCAACAUAAAUUACAUGUCUUACAGGAUCGGAUGUCGAUUCAUCGAAAUGUUCGUAUCUGAGGGGAAAACGAAUGUUUCAAUGGAGACGAUGAAAAAUUUUCGUUUUCGUCACUCGAAGACGAGAACGCCAUAUAAAUUCUGAGUAAAAUUGUUUACCCCCAAAAAAUUGAACUUUUCAUGAAAUGAUAAAGAAAUGAACAAGUUUGAGAUGACUAGUUCCUAUAAUCAAUAAAACAUAUUUAACAAUAUA